rnacentral:rRNA from 1 species
UUCGGGUUGUAAACCGCUUUCGCCUGUGACGAAGCGUGAGUGACGGUAAUGGGUAAAGAAGCACCGGCUAACUACGUGCCAGCAGCCGCGGUGAUACGUAGGGUGCGAGCGUUGUCCGGAUUUAUUGGGCGUAAAGGGCUCGUAGGUGGUUGAUCGCGUCGGAAGUGUAAUCUUGGGGCUUAACCCUGAGCGUGCUUUCGAUACGGGUUGACUUGAGGAAGGUAGGGGAGAAUGGAAUUCCUGGUGGAGCGGUGGAAUGCGCAGAUAUCAGGAGGAACACCAGUGGCGAAGGCGGUUCUCUGGGCCUUUCCUGACGCUGAGGAGCGAAAGCGUGGGGAGCGAACAGGCUUAGAUACCCUGGUAGUCCACGCUGAAACGGUGGGUACUAGGUGUGGGGCCAUUCCAGGGUUCCGUGCCGUAGCUAACGCUUUAAGUACCCCGCCUGGGGAGACGGCCGCAAGGCUAAAACUCAAGGAAUUGA